rnacentral:siRNA from 1 species
UACCUCCUUGACAAUGCAUCAGCA